UAGAGUUUGAUCAUGGCUCAGAUUGAACGCUGGCGGCAGGCCUAACACAUGCAAGUCGAGCGGAAACGAGAAUAGCUUGCUAUUCGGCGUCGAGCGGCGGACGGGUGAGUAAUGCCUGGGAAAUUGCCCUGAUGUGGGGGAUAACCAUUGGAAACGAUGGCUAAUACCGCAUAAUAGCUUCGGCUUAAAGAGGGGGACCUUCGGGCCUCUCGCUUCAGGAUAUGCCCAGGUGGGAUUAGCUAGUUGGUGAGGUAAAGGCUCACCAAGGCGACGAUCCCUAGCUGGUCUGAGAGGAUGAUCAGCCACACUGGAACUGAGACACGGUCCAGACUCCUACGGGAGGCAGCAGUGGGGAAUAUUGCACAAUGGGCGCAAGCCUGAUGCAGCCAUGCCGCGUGUAUGAAGAAGGCCUUCGGGUUGUAAAGUACUUUCAGCAGUGAGGAAGGGUGUGUAGUUAAUAGCUGCAUACUUUGACGUUAGCUGCAGAAGAAGCACCGGCUAACUCCGUGCCAGCAGCCGCGGUAAUACGGAGGGUGCGAGCGUUAAUCGGAAUUACUGGGCGUAAAGCGCAUGCAGGUGGUUUGUUAAGUCUGAUGUGAAAGCCCGGGGCUCAACCUCGGAACCGCAUUUGAAACUGGCAGGCUAGAGUACUGUAGAGGGGGGUAGAAUUUCA
rnacentral:rRNA from 1 species